UACAGAGGGUGCGAGCGUUAAUCGGAAUUACUGGGCGUAAAGGGCGCGUAGGUGGUUAGAUAAGUGAGAUGUGAAAUCCCUGGGCUUAACCUAGGAACUGCAUCUUAUACUGUUUGACUAGAGUACUGUAGAGGGUAGUGGAAUUUCCGGUGUAGCGGUGAAAUGCGUAGAGAUCGGAAGGAACACCAGUGGCGAAGGCGGCUACCUGGACAGAUACUGACACUGAGGCGCGAGAGCGUGGGGAGCAAACAGG
rnacentral:rRNA from 1 species